GGGWGAAGUCGUAACAAGGUAGCCGNAGGNNUAACCUGCGGCUGGAUCACCUCCUUUCUAGAGAAGCAUCUCUGGCACCCACAACCUAUCGGUUGUUCAUGAGUAGCAAACAGACGAGGGUCUGUAGCUCAGUCGGNUAGAGCACCGUCUUGAUAAGGCGGGGGUCGUUGGUUCGAUUNCAACCAGACCCACCAACGUCAAAAUCAAGGGGGAUUAGCUCAGCUGGGAGAGCACCUGUUUGCAAGCAGGGGGUNAACNGUUCGAUCCCGUUAUCCUCCACCNAAACCCAAAGAUAAGCNGUGGUGUUUAUCUUUNGCUUUUGAGCAGNCNAUUGCUACGUUCUUUUAACAAAAAUGGGAAGAANGUUGUGUUGCA
rnacentral:misc_RNA from 1 species